GAUGAACGCUGACAGAAUGCUUAACACAUGCAAGUCAACUUGAAUUUGGGUUUUUAACUUAGAUUUGGGUGGCGGACGGGUGAGUAACGCGUAAAGAACUUGCCUCACAGCUAGGGACAACAUUUAGAAAUGAAUGCUAAUACCUGAUAUUAUGAUUUUAAGGCAUCUUAGAAUUAUGAAAGCUAUAAGCACUGUGAGAGAGCUUUGCGUCUCAUUAGCUAGUUGGAGAGGUAACAGCUCACCAAGGCGAUGAUGGGUAGCCGGCCUGAGAGGGUGAACGGCCACAAGGGGACUGAGACACGGCCCUUACUCCUACGGGAGGCAGCAGUGGGGAAUAUUGGACAAUGGACCGAGAGUCUGAUCCAGCAAUUCUGUGUGCACGAUGAAGUUUUUCGGAAUGUAAAGUGCUUUCAGUUGGGAAGAAAUAAAUGACGGUACCAACAGAAGAAGUGACGGCUAAAUACGUGCCAGCGGCCGCGGUAAUACGUAUGUCACGAGCGUUAUCCGGAUUUAUUGGGCGUAAAGCGCGUCUAGGUGGUUAUGUAAGUCUGAUGUGAAAAUGCAGGGCUCAACUCUGUAUUGCGUUGGAAACUGUAUAACUAGAGUACUGGAGAGGUAAGCGGAACUACAAGUGUAGAGGUGAAAUUCGUAGAUAUUUGUAGGAAUGCCGAUGGGGAAGCCAGCUUACUGGACAGAUACUGACGCUAAAGCGCGAAAGCGUGGGUAGCAAACAGG
rnacentral:rRNA from 1 species